ACUGAAUGAGGAGUUAAGAAAAGUUCUGUCUCUAAAUAAUAAUUGAUAGUAUAUUUUUCAAUAGACUAGCGCCAGUAGAUCUUGCACCAUGGAGAUCAGAUGAUUUGAAUUGAAACUUGAAAACUGACAGUGGUAUAGGAUCACCACAAUGAUGUCGCAUAGGAGAAGUAAUGUGAAAAUCAAAGCAUUUUUCUGGGCCCUGG
rnacentral:lncRNA from 1 species